rnacentral:rRNA from 1 species
UACGUAGGGGGCAAGCGUUGUCCGGAAUCAUUGGGCGUAAAGCGCGUGUAGGCGGCCCGGUAAGUCCGCUGUGAAAGUCGGGGGCUCAACCCUCGAAUGCCGGUGGAUACUGUCGGGCUAGAGUGCGGGAGAGGCGAGUGGAAUUCCUGGUGUAGCGGUGAAAUGCGUAGAGAUCGGGAAGAACAUCGGUGGCGAAAGCGCUCUACUGGACCGCAACUGACGCUGAGGCGCGAAAGCUAGGGGAGCAAACAGG